rnacentral:rRNA from 1 species
GACGAACGCUGGCGGCGUGCUUAACACAUGCAAGUCGAACGGAAAGGCCCUGCUUUUGUGGGGUGCUCGAGUGUCGAACGGGUGAGUAACACGUGAGUAACCUGCCCUUGACUUUGGGAUAACUUCAGGAAACUGGGGCUAAUACCGGAUAGGAGCUCCUGCUGCAUGGUGGGGGUUGGAAAGUUUCGGCGGUUGGGGAUGGACUCGCGGCUUAUCAGCUUGUUGGUGGGGUAGUGGCUUACCAAGGCUUUGACGGGUAGCCGGCCUGAGAGGGUGACCGGCCACAUUGGGACUGAGAUACGGCCCAGACUCCUACGGGAGGCAGCAGUGGGGAAUAUUGCACAAUGGGCGGAAGCCUGAUGCAGCAACGCCGCGUGCGGGAUGACGGCCUUCGGGUUGUAAACCGCUUUCGCCUGUGACGAAGCUUGAGUGACGGUAAUGGGUAAAGAAGCACCGGCUAACUACGUG